rnacentral:rRNA from 1 species
GAUGAACGCUGGCGGCGUGCCUAAUACAUGCAAGUCGAGCGAACAGAUGAGGAGCUUGCUCCUCUGACGUUAGCGGCGGACGGGUGAGUAACACGUGGAUAACCUACCUAUAAGACUGGGAUAACUUCGGGAAACCGGAGCUAAUACCGGAUAAUAUAUUGAACCGCAUGGUUCAAUAGUGAAAGACGGUUUUGCUGUCACUUAUAGAUGGAUCCGCGCCGCAUUAGCUAGUUGGUAAGGUAACGGCUUACCAAGGCAACGAUGCGUAGCCGACCUGAGAGGGGGAUCGGCCACACUGGACCUGAGCCACGGUCCAGCCUCCUACGGGAGGCAGCAGUAGGGAAUCUUCCGCAAUGGGCGAAAGCCUGACGGAGCAACGCCGCGUGAGUGAUGAAGGUCUUCGGAUCGUAAAACUCUGUUAUUAGGGAAGAACAAAUGUGUAAGUAACUAUGCACGUCUUGACGGUACCUAAUCAGAAAGCCACGGCUAACUACGUG